rnacentral:rRNA from 1 species
UACGAAGGUGGCAAGCGUUGUUCGGAUUUACUGGGCGUAAAGGGAGCGUAGGCGGUUUGGUAAGCCCGCCGGGAAAUCUCCCGGCCCAACCGGGAAAGGUCGGAGGGGACUGCUAGGCUAGAGGGCGGGAGAGGAGCGAGGAAUUCCCGGUGUAGCGGUGAAAUGCGUAGAGAUCGGGAGGAAGGCCGGUGGCGAAGGCGGCGCUCUGGAACGAUCCUGACGCUGAGGCUCGAAAGCGUGGGGAGCAAACAGG